GCUGGCCGUGGUGGCACGCACCUGUAAUCCCAGCUACUCAGGAGGCUGAGGCAAGAGAAUCGCUUGAACCCGGGAGGCACAGGUUGCAGUGAGCCGAGAUCAGCCACUGCACUCCAGCCUGGCGAGAGAGUGAGACUCUGUCUCAAAAAAAAAAAAAAAAAGGAGGAGGAGUCUCCCUCUGUUGCCCAGUCUGGAGUGCAAUGGCACCAUCUCGGCUCAGUGCAACCUCCACCUCCUGGUUCAAGCAAUUCUUCUGACUCA
rnacentral:sRNA from 1 species